UACGUAGGGUGCGAGCGUUAAUCGGAAUUACUGGGCGUAAAGUGUGCGCAGGCGGCCGAGCAAGUCGAGUGUGAAAGCCCCGAGCUUAACUUGGGAAUUGCGCUCGAAACUACUUGGCUGGAGUGUGGCAGAGGAAGGUGGAAUUCCAGGUGUAGCGGUGAAAUGCGCAGAUAUCGGGAGGAACACCGGUGGCGAAGGCGGUUCUCUGGGCCGUGACCUGACGCUGAGGAGCGAAAGCGUGGGGAGCGAACAGG
rnacentral:rRNA from 1 species